AUAAAAUGUGAGUAUGGCUGAUGAUCAACUCUCCGUUUGAGUUCUGAAUCUUCUGUACAGAGCUGUCACCACUUCAACCUGCUAGGAAAACAGAAAGAUGUCCCAGAAAGCUGAAGAUAUUAUACUUCUUCUACUUCUGAUCAUGAUUUAUGGCCCGAAUGGUGGAGAAUGCAACCAGGCACAUCUAAAACUGAUGAAUAAGACAAUGGAGAUGAGAAUCUCAUUCGCAUCUAGACCCAACGUUACUGUUUCGGACACUGCGGAACAGAUACUUUGUUAUUCAACAACAAAUUUGUGUUAUAUUGAGUGCUCCUAUCAUGAUUUCUUUGCAAACAAAAACUUUACACAACCAGAAACAUUG
rnacentral:lncRNA from 1 species